rnacentral:hammerhead_ribozyme from 1 species
AUCCAGCUGAUGAGUCCCAAAUAGGACGAAGUGACGAGCGUCCUGGAU